AGAUUGAACGCUAGCGGGAUGCUUUACACAUGCAAGUCGAACGGCAGCGCGGACUUCGGUCUGGCGGCGAGUGGCGAACGGGUGAGUAAUAUAUCGGAACGUGCCCAGUAGCGGGGGAUAACUACGCGAAAGCGUGGCUAAUACCGCAUACGCCCUACGGGGGAAAGGGGGGGAUCGCAAGACCUCUCACUAUUGGAGCGGCCGAUAUCAGAUUAGCUAGUUGGUGAGGUAAAGGCUCACCAAGGCGACGAUCUGUAGCUGGUUUGAGAGGACGACCAGCCACACUGGGACUGAGACACGGCCCAGACU
rnacentral:rRNA from 1 species